UACGGAGGAUGCAAGCGUUAUCCGGAUUUAUUGGGUUUAAAGGGUCCGCAGGCGGAAAGGUAAGUCAGUGGUGAAAGCCCGUAGCUCAACUACGGAACUGCCAUUGAUACUGUUUUUCUUGAGUAUGGUUGCCGUUGGCGGAAUAUAACAUGUAGCGGUGAAAUGCUUAGAUAUGUUAUAGAACACCGAUUGCGAAGGCAGCUAACGAAACCAUUACUGACGCUCAGGGACGAAAGCGUGGGGAGCAAACAGG
rnacentral:misc_RNA from 1 species